GAAGAAGAAUUGAUGAUCAUAAUUGUCAAAAAGAUAUGAAUAUGACAGCAAUGGAGGGAUGAGCCUAUGAAGUAUGGGGUGUAGGUACGGAUAUUGGUAUGGGUAUACCGGUACGACAAGACCUAAAAACAAUACAAUAUGGGACAACUGAACUGUAUGAUGACGUGUGUAUUCUUCUAUGGCCUUGGGGUUGGACGCUAGGCCUGGGCCUAUCUCGGUCUUGGGCCACACUCUGACUUGACUCUCCUUGAAAGAUUGCCUCUAGGCUGGGUGUUCAUCCUUGGUGGGCUUGGUUCAUUCUUAUGGACUAGGUGGGUUCAACCCACUCAAGUGUUCAGCCCACAUCAGUUGGGCUAAGUGAUUUGGUCCACCUCGACAUUCUAAUCGAGCUUGGCCCAUGUUAGUUCUGAUGAACCCACGUCGGUUGGACUCGAUGAGAUCAACCCAUAUCAACAUUUCUGAUGAACCUGGCCCAUGUUCGUGGGCCUAGGUUGGUUUGGCCCUAAAGAGGUAACUCAACCAAGUCCUGGUCCUAAUUAUUUUGACCUCUUUCACUUGGUAAUCUAAACUUUCAUGCUAGAGCAAAUAUUGGUAGAAUAGAGUACAAUAUAAAAUCACUUGUAGGAAACCAUAGGCAACAACUACAAAGAGUCAACAUAGAUAAACAUCAACAAAAAUUUAAAACUACUACAUUGAUAAGUCUUAUCAUAGAGAUUAUAUGUACAUAAAACCAAUACCAUUAAACUAUUUUAGCCAUAUGAUUUUGUACAAAUUAUUUGAUGGCAAGAAUACAUUUAAUUUUUUUGUAUAUAAAUACAAAUGAUUAAGUGCUCCAGAUCAAACCAAAUGUUUACGUGUAAUACGUCCAAAUUUUUUUUAAUAUAAUAGUACGUUCUAUUUUUUGGGGAAAAAAUGAAGAAGAGUGAAAUUAAGUGAAAUAGUACCAAAAUUUAAUCCCAAUCAUUGUCGAGUAAAAGACAAAAAUAUUUAAAGUCGUUGUUGGCUCCAUUUACACAUAUGUAUGUGUGUGUGAAUGUGUUACCAAAAUUAAUAGUGGUGGAGGUAGAAGUUUCCGCAUAACUUAUAUAUAAUAAGAAUCAAUGGCAUACCUCUUAUGUUGAGAUAGACACUAUUAUCAAUGUAUGACACUGACACAAUGUGCCAACCAGCGACUUUCCAAAAACAACGAAGAGAUAAAAUUAUGGACAUGGACAUUGUACAUACGUAACAUUGUUUGAUAUAAAAAUAAGUCGUGCUAUAGGUCUCGAAUAUUGAGGUGUAAAUUUGCCUCGAAUUUGUUUAACCGGUCGUCCGGCUGGUCGUCCGGCAAAGAGGGUGACAAUCGCGGUCGAUAAGGUUGUCAACCGCGAUAGACAAGUAUUUCACUAGGUCGUUCGGGUGGUCGUUCGACCGGUGACUACAAAUUCGCGCCUGAAACUCUUGAGGCGUGAAGCAUUAGUGUAAAAAAUAGAGUGUCUAACAUGGUAAAAAAGUGAUCAUGAAAUACAUGAAACUCAAAAGAAAAUAUAUCGCUAAUAUAAGUUACUUGACAGUGAAAGAUGUUUGACAGAACUUAGGCUAUAAACACAAUCAAUUAAAAGAAUAAGUGCAACUAACCUUUUUGUACAAAUUCGGAAGGUUUGUCUCAUAAAAUGGAAGGUAUCCUGCCAUUAAAACAUAAAGAAUGACUCCACGUGACCAGACCUCCAUUGCAACACCAUCAUAACCCCUUCGACUUAAAACCUAUGGCAUUGGUUGAGGAGAAAAAAUUUAGAUGGUGGACAAAAACAUCCAGGGCCAUGCUUCUUUACAAAAUAUUAAUUUUGAAUAAAUAAAUAAAGUAGGAGAAAAAUGGUGAAUUUAACUGGAAGAAUUGAAACAUUAGCUAACUAAAAAGCUUGCUUAAACACAAUUAUACCACAAAAGCCUCACAAUCAUUUGCAUAGUUUCAGAAAAACUAAGGGAUAUAUUGACUAUUGUUGAUUAUUAUCGAAGGUUAAGAAGCUUAGACACUUCUAAGACAGUGUCAUGUCCGUGUUGGAUACAUGUUAGGCAUUGACACUAUUAGACACUCUCGACACAUGUCAAACGCUUGCCAGACACACAUGUUAACUAUUUAGACAGGUAUAAAACACACUAUAAGUUCAAAGAAAAUAUCUCAGGAGCUAAUUAUUAAAAUCAAAACAUGUAUACAUACCUAUUAACCCCUACUCUUUUAGGAGUUUUAGUUUUAGGAACGCAUAAGCCUAAAGCUUUCUACCUGUUUGUGAAUAUGAUUUUUUAAAAUAGCUUUAGAACUUUUUGUUCACAUUUCUUUUGCAAUUUAUAGAAUCUAAAUACAUAUAUAAAGAUAAAUUUAUAUAUAAAAAUAUAAAAUUCUUUGUUAUGUGUCCCUGCCAUGUCGUAAGUUGAUUUUAGAAAAAUUGUCUUUCAACCUAUCUAUAUCAUUCCAUAUUCAUGUCCAUUGUAUCCAUGCUUCUUAGGUCAAAGGAAAAUAAGAUCUAUAGGUAGCAAUUGAGAACACAAGGGAAAAUAAGACAAUUUAUAAGACAAAUCACACAGCCUGAGACCCCUAAAUUUUGCAAAUUCUAGUAAUGUCCAUUAUAACAAAAGCCCUCAAUUCCCCGUUUACUAGGGAAAUUAACCCUAGAACCAAAACGCAUCACGGGCGAAUCUGUACAAAUCCUAAUCGACCCCGGUAACUUAGAAAUCAUAUCUAACACUCUAAUAUUAAUUAUUUAACUCUCUAAUUUUAGAUUAAUCGCUCAAAAUUCUAGUUUUUUUUUAUCAUUUUCAUUUGGUUAUACACCUUUUAAUUCAAGGCAAGAUGAUUCAAACCAAAUUAUUUUACCCAACACUGUUUUAAUAAAUACUACAUUUGAAAUAUAUAUUCUAAUUAAUCCCAAGCCCUCACAUUUUAUUCUAAUUACAUUUUGACCCCAAAUCAUUCUUUAUACAUAUAAAAGUACACCCCCAGUAUUAUAAUCUUUUUCCAAAAUAUCUACAGUAUACAUAAGAGUUUGUAGACAAAUAAAUGAGAAAAAUUCCCUCAAAUCAUCAUCACAUUGGCGGUCACCCUAUAAAUAUACAUUGUAGUGUCCUUUUUUAAACAAAUUUCAUGAAUUUAGGGAAGACUUCUGACUAGGACCCCAAAAUCUACGAAAUUUGUCUUGUACUUGUAACUAACUCAGUUAUAACCCUAACUAGGAUUUGUUUAAGUACACAAUUAGGGCCUCAAUAAACCCCAUUCUAUUACAUUCCAACUAAAUCCAAAGACUAUUCAAUUCCUUUGGAACCAUGGGCAUUUUGGACUUUUCACACCAAAUUUCCUAUAAAUACAGCACCAUCCCCUUAGCAUUUGCAUACUCAAGUACACACCCGCACUACACACGGCAGAGGUAGAGUGAGGGGGAGUAGAGAGUGAGCUUGAAGGAAGAGAAAGAAAAAGAGAGAAGACUUUGUGCAAGCCUUAACAAUCUAACAAACAAGUAAGCCACAACACAAUCUAUUAUUUUCUUUUCUUUUCUUUUCUCUUCUCUUCUAAAUACAUAAUAUUAGAUGCUUAGAAUAUAGUUUUCAUAUAUGUGUAUGGUUCUUGUGUUUAAAUAAGAGAAGUUGUGUUUUGUUAUAGGGCUGAGCAAGGAAUCCGUGAAAUCCGUAAUCCGAUAUAAUCCAGUCUAAUCCGAUAGGUUUGGAUUGGUUUUUUGAAUCUGCGGUUCAGUUCUGGAUUGAAGAAUUAAAAAUCCG